rnacentral:rRNA from 1 species
UACGUAGGGUGCGAGCGUUGUCCGGAAUUAUUGGGCGUAAAGAGCUCGUAGGCGGUCCGUCGCGUCGAAUGUGAAAACCCGGGGCUCAACCCCGGGCUUGCAUUCGAUACGGGCGGACUAGAGUUCGGUAGGGGAGACUGGAAUUCCUGGUGUAGCGGUGAAAUGCGCAGAUAUCAGGAGGAACACCAAUUGCGAAGGCAGCUCGCUGGGACGUUACUGACGCUGAGACGCGAAAGCGUGGGGAGCAAACAGG